rnacentral:rRNA from 1 species
UACGUAUGGGGCAAGCGUUAUCCGGAUUUACUGGGUGUAAAGGGAGCGUAGGCGGCCUGACAAGCCUGAUGUGAAAUACCGGGGCCCAACCCCGGGGCUGCAUUGGGAACUGCCAGGCUGGAGUGCCGGAGAGGCAGGCGGAAUUCCUAGUGUAGCGGUGAGAUGCGUAGAUAUUAGGAGGAACACCAGUGGCGAAGGCGGCCUGCUGGACGGUGACUGACGCUGAGGCUCGAAAGCGUGGGGAGCAAACAGG